UGGGGAAUUUUGCACAAUGGGGGAAACCCUGAUGCAGCGACGCCGCGUGAUUUAGAAGGCCUUCGGGUUGUAAAAAUCUUUUGUAUGGGAAGAAAAUGACAGUACCAUACGAAUAAGGACCGGCUAAUUACGUGCCAGCAGCCGCGGUAAUACGUAAGGUCCGAGCGUUGUCCGGAAUCAUUGGGCGUAAAGGGUACGUAGGCGGAUAAGCAAGUUAGAAGUGAAAUCCUAUAGCUCAACUAUAGUAAGCUUUUAAAACUGCUCAUCUUGAGGUAUGGAAGGGAAAGUGGAAUUCCUAGUGUAGCGGUGAAGUGCGCAGAUAUUAGGAGGAAUACCGGUGGCGAAGGCGACUUUCUGGCCAUAAACUGACGCUGAGGUACGAAAGCGUGGGUAGCAAACAGG
rnacentral:rRNA from 1 species